rnacentral:rRNA from 1 species
UACGGAGGGGGCUAGCGUUGUUCGGAAUUACUGGGCGUAAAGCGCACGUAGGCGGCCUCGCAAGUCCCAUGUGAAAGCCCACGGCUUAACCGUGGAAGUGCAUGGGAAACUGCAGUGCUUGAGUACUUAAGAGGAUCGCGGAAUUCCCGGUGUAGAGGUGAAAUUCGUAGAUAUCGGGAGGAACACCAGUGGCGAAGGCGGCGAUCUGGGAAGAUACUGACGCUGAGGUGCGAAAGCGUGGGGAGCAAACAGG